rnacentral:lncRNA from 1 species
UAGGGAUAGUGCCAAUGGGGAGGCUAGUGGUAGUACCCGGCACUAUUUGACCUAACUAUUCGGUGUAGGGCAUAUUAGGGACGGCACAAGAGGGAGGCUAGUGGUAGUACCUCGUGCCCCUUCCAACUCCACCGGAUAGAGAGCAAAUAGAAUAUAGAGCAUAGAAAAAUAAAACCGAAAAAUAAAUGAAGAUAAUCAAAAUGUUCAUUGAAUGGUUAAAGAAAGAAAUUAAAAAUUUAGAGAAUGAAUGAUAAAUAAAUGAAAAUAUAUAAGAAGGUUGUGAAAAGUCAAAUGAAGUUUCAAUCACUUGAAAACACACCUUAAGGAUAAAAUCAGUGCUAAAUUGUAUUUAAAUAAAGGAAAUUUUAUUUGAAAAGAAUUGAUUUUGAUCCAUGACAUGCUUGUUAUGUUUUGCAUACUUUGAAUUAUAUGUUUUCAAUCUUAUUAAUUUAAGAUGAGCUACAACGUAGAAGAUGCAUAUCUCAAAUUAUAAUCUUGAAAGCUUCUUUAAAAAUUUUUAUGAAAUUCANNNNNNNNNNNNNNNNNNNNNNNNNNNNNNNNNNNNNNNNNNUUUCUACUGUCGUAUUUUUGUAACUUUCAUUAUAUGCUUCAAUGAUUGCAUCAUUUUGGGGAAUAACUCAAUAUGAUUUCUAGAUGAAAACUACGGUUUAAGAAAAAUAGAAUUACUUUGGAUACCUUGGUUGUUUGCUCCGAUACGCAUCUGAAACAUAUCAUUUUUUAUCUUAUAAGUGUACUGAAAUUGGACUAAAUGAUGUAUUUUUCAAUGAUCUUGAUUGCAAAUAAAUGGUUCUAAACAUAUGAUAUUAUUUUGAUAUUAAAAAGAUUUAUGGUGCUUCAUAUAUACAUUGCUGAAAAACUAUGACUAAGAAAUUAAUAUUUUGAAUAUACACUCCUGCAUAAUUAAAUGCUUCUAUCAUUAAA